rnacentral:misc_RNA from 1 species
CAACCAGCACCCCCUUGCUAGCUGCGACACACGCAUCGGUCAGACACACUGAUAGCCUUGUUUUGUGGACCACGUGUCACUGCUGGCCAUUGCACACCCGCGUGUCUGCGACGUUUGAAUUUGUUUGCCCUUUGCCCUGUUGAAUGGAUGAAGGUGCUGGCGUGUGUUGCCUCUCAGCAUGGGCCAAUCGUUUGAUCUGCUGCGCACGCAUGAUGAGGUGCCAGAUGAUGUCAAGGCAGCCAUUCCGCCCAUCAAGUACACGGCAGCCCCGGAGGAAAGCCGCCCUCACAACCGCGAGCUUUGCGAGGACUGCGGCGAGUACUUCGGGUGGUUCUGCUGGAGUACCAACUGCGACUGGUGCGGUCGUCAGCUGUGCGCCCGGUGUUGUCCCAACCACCACCUUCUCGGGGGCAAUCCUGGGUGCAAAGAUUGCACGCGGAAAGCGUUUCGCAUCCGCCGCCAGGCGAUGCUCGAGGAUCACCUCCAGAACGCUGGACUGCCACUCCAACGCCCACGUGGUCGAGCGGCGGAGGGCGAACCCAUAACCACCGCAUCCGGUGCUUUGGAGAGCGUCGAUGCGCUUGCUCCGUCGAAGGCGCGCAUUCCUGCUUAAGGGCGCAAGAGAUCGCAACGGGGGAGGUGUAAGGGGGCUACCCGGCGAGCGUGUUUCGCUUUCCAUGCACGUAUGCGGGUGAAGUGAUGAGCGAUGAGGGAAGGGAGCGAAGACGGUGCGCACGCGUGCGCGUUUUCUUUCUCCUUUCCGCAACACAUCUCUGGGCACCCCCUCGCUGCGGCUGUGGGUUCAUGGUCUUUUAAGUCUUGCCGAGACUCUCAACCCGUUCUUCAUCUUGGUACUGCGACACGAGGUGCCCAGCAGCAUCCGCAUAGAGCGAGCGAGACGGCGCGUGGGCAUCCCCAACCCUUCUUCAAAGUGUAGCAAAAUGGAGCGCCCAGCCGCUGUCCAUGAGUGUGGAGAGGUGCACUGGCGACUGUUCUUGUACAUCACGCGUUAGUAUUCUUCCCGCAUCUCAAGGUCUUCGCUCUUACCCGCUGCAGUCCCAGGGAGAGCCACCAACGGGCUACAUGCUUGGUGCAGCUGUUGGUGGUGGCAAUGGUGGGGCAGCGGUCUGGGCGCUUCUUUUCUCUUCCGCCCUGCGAUCCUUUCAGCACAACUCGUCAACGGCUACCGUUUUCCGCUGCUAGCACCACUGCCCCCCGAUGACGGUGUGUGUGUGUGUGGGCACGCCUCUCGGUGCGUGGCAGCUCAGGGCCCAGUACACACGCCGACUCUCUCUGGGUGGAGGCGAAGCCGCCCGCCGCUCUCUAUCCCUGCCAAAUGCGGAGCCACCUCUGGUGGUGACAGGGUGAGGCGCCUACGACCUGGGGCGAGGUGAGAGCGAUGUGUCGCUGCUGGUGUCGGAUAGCAGGUCCUGGACGGCGUUGCGUCUGAGCGACCUGCGACCGUGGGCACACGUGUGCCAUCCACAUGAUGGGCAGAGUGUCCGCGUCGCUGGAACGCACCCCACCACCCGACCCUCGCACUGCCCGCUGGUGUGGGGAGCCCGAGGCCCCUCCGAGGGGGCUGCAUCACGUGGCGACCGGCAUGAUGUGGGAGCGGCUGUGAGGCGACCUGCGCGAUGCGGCGGUGGUGGUGGUCGGGGCUUGAGGCGGAGGCGGUGCUGAGAUGACUGGGCCGACGCAUUGCUGUACCGCGUGCGCGCACCGCUGCUUCGCAGGGCGGGAUGGGGCCUGCGGCAUGCCGAGGUGGGGUGGCGCUGGAGCUCGUGCUGGACGGCAGAGGGCGGGCAAACUCUAUGUGAGAAACCACCACGCUACCGCAGCUGCUUUACAUAUCUAUAUAUAUAUAUAUAGAUAUAUAUUAUGAAGGUGGAACGUAAACCAUGGAGGGAUGAGUCGGACGCCGAACUUCACCUGUUCUUUUUUGUAUGGGCUGGAGAGACUGGCGACGCGCACUCCCCUGCAGACAAGCGCAAGGACAACCGGAGGACUCUUUUUCUUCACUGCAGCCCGUGACGCCCUCGCCGGAUGCGGGUUGGAGAGACGCAGUGCGCGAGAGUCCAACGAACACGCUUCGCAUGAAGUCUUUUCUCUUUUCCUCCG